AUUGAACGCUGGCGGCAGGCCUAACACAUGCAAGUCGAACGGUAGCACAGAGAGCUUGCUCUCGGGUGACGAGUGGCGGACGGGUGAGUAAUGUCUGGGAAACUGCCCGAUGGAGGGGGAUAACUACUGGAAACGGUAGCUAAUACCGCAUAACGUCGCAAGACCAAAGUGGGGGACCUUCGGGCCUCACACCAUCGGAUGUGCCCAGAUGGGAUUAGCUAGUAGGUGGGGUAAUGGCUCACCUAGGCGACGAUCCCUAGCUGGUCUGAGAGGAUGACCGGCCACACGGGAACUGAGACACGGUCCAGAAUCCUACGGGAGGCAGCAGUGGGGAAUAUUGCACAAUGGGCGCAGGCCUGAUGCAGCUAUGCCGCGUGUAUGAAGAAGGCCUUCGGGUUGUAAAGUACUUUCAGCGGGGAGGAAGGCGGUGAAGUUAAUAACUUCACCGAUUGACGUUACCCGCAGAAGAAGCACCGGCUAACUCCGUGCCAGCAGCCGCAGUAA
rnacentral:rRNA from 1 species